rnacentral:rRNA from 1 species
GACGAAGGAUGCAAGCGUUUAUCCGGAUUCAUUGGGUUUAAAGGGAGCGUAGGUGGCCUUAUAAGUCAGUGGUGAAAUCUCUGGGCUUAACCCAGAAAUUGCCAUUGAUACUGUAGGGCUUGAGUAUAGUUGCCGUUGGCGGAAUAUGACAUGUAGUGGUGAAAUACAUAGAGAUGUCAUAGAACACCGAUUGCGAAGGCAGCUGACGAAACUAUAACUGACACUGAGGCUCGAAAGUGUGGGGGAUCAAACAGG